GAUGAACGCUGGCGGCGUGCCUAAUACAUGCAAGUCGAGCGAAUGGAUUAAGAGCUUGCUCUUAUGAAGUUAGCGGCGGACGGGUGAGUAACACGUGGGUAACCUGCCCACAAGACUGGGAUAACUCCGGGAAACCGGGGCUAAUACCGGAUAACAUUUUGAACCGCAUGGUUCGAAAUUGAAAGGCGGCUUCGGCUGUCACUUAUGGAUGGACCCGCGUCGCAUUAGCUAGUUGGUGAGGUAACGGGCCACCAAGGCAACGAUGCGUAGCCGACCUGAGAGUGUGAUCGGCCACACUGGGACUGAGGCUCGGCCCAGACUCCUACGGGAUGCAUCAGUAGGGAAUCUUCCGCAAUGGACGAAAGUCUGACGGAGCAACGCCGCGUGAGUGAUUAAUGCUUUCGGGUCGUAAAACUCUGUUGUUAGUGAAGAACAAGUGCUAGUUGAAUAAGCUGGCACCCUGACGGUACCUAACCAGAAAGCCACGGCUAACUACGUGCCAGCCGCCGCGGUAA
rnacentral:rRNA from 1 species